rnacentral:rRNA from 1 species
UGAACGCUGGCGGCGUGCCUAAUACAUGCAAGUCGAGCGAACAGAUGAGGAGCUUGCUCCUCUGACGUUAGCGGCGGACGGGUGAGUAACACGUGGAUAACCUACCUAUAAGACUGGGAUAACUUCGGGAAACCGGAGCUAAUACCGGAUAAUAUAUUGAACCGCAUGGUUCAAUAGUGAAAGACGGUUUUGCUGUCACUUAUAGAUGGAUCCGCGCCGCAUUAGCUAGUUGGUAAGGUAACGGCUUACCAAGGCAACGAUGCGUAGCCGACCUGAGAGGGUGAUCGGCCACACUGGAACUGAGACACGGUCCAGACUCCUACGGGAGGCAGCAGUAAGGAAUCUUCCGCAAAGGGCGAAAGCUUGACGGAGCAACGCCGCGUGAGUGAUGAAGGUCUUCGGAUCGUAAAACUCUGUUAUUAGGGAAGAACAAAUGUGUAAGUAACUAUGCACGUCUUGACGGUACCUAAUCAGAAAGCCACGGCUAACUACGUG